AUUGAACGCUGGCGGCAGGCCUAACACAUGCAAGUCGAACGGUAACAGAAAGCAGCUUGCUGCUUUGCUGACGAGUGGCGGACGGGUGAGUAAUGUCUGGGAAACUGCCUGAUGGAGGGGGAUAACUACUGGAAACGGUAGCUAAUACCGCAUAACGUCGCAAGACCAAAGAGGGGGACCUUCGGGCCUCUUGCCAUCGGAUGUACCCAGAUGGGAUUAGCUAGUAGGUGGGGUAAAGGCUCACCUAGGCGACGAUCCCUAGCUGGUCUGAGAGGAUGACCAGCCACACUGGAACUGAGACACGGUCCAGACUCCUACGGGAGGCAGCAGUGGGGAAUAUUGCACAAUGGGCGCAAGCCUGAUGCAGCCAUGCCGCGUGUAUGAAGAAGGCCUUCGGGUUGUAAAGUACUUUCAGCGGGGAGGAAGGGAGUAAAGUUAAUACCUUUGCUCAUUGACGUUACCCGCAGAAGAAGCACCGGCUAACUCCGUG
rnacentral:rRNA from 1 species